rnacentral:rRNA from 1 species
AUUGAACGCUGGCGGCAUGCUUUACACAUGCAAGUCGAACGGUAACAGGCCGCAAGGUGCUGACGAGUGGCGAACGGGUGAGUAAUGCAUCGGAACGUGCCCAGUCGUGGGGGAUAACUACUCGAAAGAGUGGCUAAUACCGCAUACGAUCUAUGGAUGAAAGCGGGGGACCGUAAGGCCUCGCGCGAUUGGAGCGGCCGAUGUCAGAUUAGGUAGUUGGUGGGGUAAAGGCUCACCAAGCCAACGAUCUGUAGCUGGUCUGAGAGGACGACCAGCCACACUGGGACUGAGACACGGCCCAGACUCCUACGGGAGGCAGCAGUGGGGAAUUUUGGACAAUGGGCGCAAGCCUGAUCCAGCAAUGCCGCGUGCAGGAAGAAGGCCUUCGGGUUGUAAACUGCUUUUGUACGGAACGAAACGGCUCUGGUUAAUACCCGGGGCUAAUGACGGUACCGUAAGAAUGAGCACCGGCUAACUACGUG